rnacentral:rRNA from 1 species
UAGUCCACGCCGUAAACGAUGUUUGCUAGUUGUCAGGCCCUCAGGGUUUGGUGACGGAGAGAAAUCAUUAAGCAAACCGCCUGGGGAGUACGGCCGCAAGGUUAAAACUCAAAGGAAUUGACGGGGACCCGCACAAGCGGUGGAGCAUGUUGUUUAAUUCGAAGCAACGCGAAGAACCUUACCCACUCUUGACAUACCUCUUGGGACUUUCAGAGAUGAUUGUCUUCGGUUCGGCCGGGGAGGAUACAGGUGCUGCAUGGCUGUCGUCAGCUCGUGUCGUGAGAUGUUCGGUUAAGUCCGGUAACGAGCGCAACCCUUAUUGUUAGUUGCCAUCAUUCAGUUGGGCACUCUAACAAGACUGCCGGUGACAAGCCGGAGGAAGGCGGGGACGACGUCAAGUUAUCAUGGCCCUUACGAGUGGGGCUACAAACGUGCUACAAUGGCAGUAGACAAGUGGGCAGCCACUCCGCGAGGAGGAGCUAAUCUACCAAAACUGUCUCUAGUUCGGAUUGUUCUCUGACACG